UGCCAGUGGAGACGAGCUGUCCUCAGUGUCUGCAGAGAGAGACCAGCUGAUGGAUACCUUCACUGCACUGAUGGACAACUUCACUGCACUGACCCAAGAGAAGGAAAGACGUCAGCUCUUGUGCAAACAGAAGAAAACGUGUCCUGAAGGGUGGAGGAUGUUCAGUUGUUCCUGUUAUCUUCUCUCUACGCGGGAUGAUUCCUGGACUAAUGCCAGAACAGACUGCACAGACCAAGGAGCAGAUCUGGUCAUCAUAGACUCACUUGAAGAACAGGAAUUCCUCUCAGGUAACCACACACGUCGUGCUUGGAUUGGUUUGAGUGACACAGAGGUCGAGGGCACCUGGAAAUGGAUUGAUGGAACUCUGCUGACUGCGACUUUAGCGUACUGGGCCGAUUUUCGUGGAGUUCAACCUGAUGACUUUGAAGGUAGAGAGGACUGUGUUGAAAUUGUUUUCGGCUGGAACUCCGAAAGAAACUGGAAUGAUAGAGACUGUAGUGCCUCUCUUCCAUGGAUCUGUGAAAAACUGGUUUAACAUUUCAAGUUAUAAAGGUUCAAUAAUCAUUUAUUGUUACUAUGCAACAAAAGGAUUUGACAUUUUAGCCCAUUUUUAACAAAAAGAGAAGACAAAGCAACAUGUUGUAAAGCAUUCAUUGAUUCUGCAUUAUAAACAAUGUAAGCAACAAAAACAAUUAUCUAAUGUAAUAAU